UUACGGCCACAUCGCGUUGAAACACCUGUUCCCGUAAGCUUACCGAAGUUAAGCAACGUUGUAUUUGUUCAGUAUCUAGGUGGGUGGUCGCAUGGGAAAAACAGGUUCUGUAAG